rnacentral:rRNA from 1 species
UUAAGCGACUAAGCGUACACGGUGGAUGCCCUGGCAGUCAGAGGCGAUGAAGGACGUGCUAAUCUGCGAUAAGCGUCGGUGAGGUGAUAUGAACCGUUAUAACCGGCGAUUUCCGAAUGGGGAAACCCAGUGUGUUUCGACACACUAUCAUUAACUGAAUCCAUAGGUUAAUGAGGCGAACCGGGGGAACUGAAACAUCUAAGUACCCCGAGGAAAAGAAAUCAACCGAGAUUCCCCCAGUAGCGGCGAGCGAACGGGGAGGAGCCCAGAGCCUGAAUCAGUGUGUGUGUUAGUGGAAGCGUCUGGAAAGGCGCGCGAUACAGGGUGACAGCCCCGUACACAAAAAUGCACAUAUUGUGAGCUCGAUGAGUAGGGCGGGACACGUGGUAUCCUGUCUGAAUAUGGGGGGACCAUCCUCCAAGGCUAAAUACUCCUGACUGACCGAUAGUGAACCAGUACCGUGAGGGAAAGGCGAAAAGAACCCCGGCGAGGGGAGUGAAAAAGAACCUGAAACCGUGUACGUACAAGCAGUGGGAGCCUCUUAAUGGGGUGACUGCGUACCUUUUGUAUAAUGGGUCAGCGACUUAUAUUCUGUAGCAAGGUUAACCGAAUAGGGGAGCCGAAGGGAAACCGAGUCUUAACUGGGCGUUAAGUUGCAGGGUAUAGACCCGAAACCCGGUGAUCUAGCCAUGGGCAGGUUGAAGGUUGGGUAACACUAACUGGAGGACCGAACCGACUAAUGUUGAAAAAUUAGCGGAUGACUUGUGGCUGGGGGUGAAAGGCCAAUCAAACCGGGAGAUAGCUGGUUCUCCCCGAAAGCUAUUUAGGUAGCGCCUCGUGAAUUCAUCUCCGGGGGUAGAGCACUGUUUCGGCAAGGGGGUCAUCCCGACUUACCAACCCGAUGCAAACUGCGAAUACCGGAGAAUGUUAUCACGGGAGACACACGGCGGGUGCUAACGUCCGUCGUGAAGAGGGAAACAACCCAGACCGCCAGCUAAGGUCCCAAAGUCAUGGUUAAGUGGGAAACGAUGUGGGAAGGCCCAGACAGCCAGGAUGUUGGCUUAGAAGCAGCCAUCAUUUAAAGAAAGCGUAAUAGCUCACUGGUCGAGUCGGCCUGCGCGGAAGAUGUAACGGGGCUAAACCAUGCACCGAAGCUGCGGCAGCGACACUAUGUGUUGUUGGGUAGGGGAGCGUUUCUGUAAGCCUGUGAAGGUGUGCUGUGAGGCAUGCUGGAGGUAUCAGAAGUGCGAAUGCUGACAUAAGUAACGAUAAAGCGGGUGAAAAGCCCGCUCGCCGGAAGACCAAGGGUUCCUGUCCAACGUUAAUCGGGGCAGGGUGAGUCGACCCCUAAGGCGAGGCCGAAAGGCGUAGUCGAUGGGAAACAGGUUAAUAUUCCUGUACUUGGUGUUACUGCGAAGGGGGGACGGAGAAGGCUAUGUUGGCCGGGCGACGGUUGUCCCGGUUUAAGCGUGUAGGCUGGUUUUCCAGGCAAAUCCGGAAAACCAAGGCUGAGGCGUGAUGACGAGGCACUACGGUGCUGAAGCGACAAAUGCCCUGCUUCCAGGAAAAGCCUCUAAGCAUCAGGUAACAUCAAAUCGUACCCCAAACCGACACAGGUGGUCAGGUAGAGAAUACCAAGGCGCUUGAGAGAACUCGGGUGAAGGAACUAGGCAAAAUGGUGCCGUAACUUCGGGAGAAGGCACGCUGAUAUGUAGGUGAAGCGACUUGCUCGUGGAGCUGAAAUCAGUCGAAGAUACCAGCUGGCUGCAACUGUUUAUUAAAAACACAGCACUGUGCAAACACGAAAGUGGACGUAUACGGUGUGACGCCUGCCCGGUGCCGGAAGGUUAAUUGAUGGGGUUAGCGGUAACGCGAAGCUCUUGAUCGAAGCCCCGGUAAACGGCGGCCGUAACUAUAACGGUCCUAAGGUAGCGAAAUUCCUUGUCGGGUAAGUUCCGACCUGCACGAAUGGCGUAAUGAUGGCCAGGCUGUCUCCACCCGAGACUCAGUGAAAUUGAACUCGCUGUGAAGAUGCAGUGUACCCGCGGCAAGACGGAAAGACCCCGUGAACCUUUACUAUAGCUUGACACUGAACAUUGAGCCUUGAUGUGUAGGAUAGGUGGGAGGCUUUGAAGUGUGGACGCCAGUCUGCAUGGAGCCGACCUUGAAAUACCACCCUUUAAUGUUUGAUGUUCUAACGUGGGCCCCUAAUCGGGGUUGCGGACAGUGUCUGGUGGGUAGUUUGACUGGGGCGGUCUCCUCCUAAAGAGUAACGGAGGAGCACGAAGGUUGGCUAAUCCUGGUCGGACAUCAGGAGGUUAGUGCAAUGGCAUAAGCCAGCUUGACUGCGAGCGUGACGGCGCGAGCAGGUGCGAAAGCAGGUCAUAGUGAUCCGGUGGUUCUGAAUGGAAGGGCCAUCGCUCAACGGAUAAAAGGUACUCCGGGGAUAACAGGCUGAUACCGCCCAAGAGUUCAUAUCGACGGCGGUGUUUGGCACCUCGAUGUCGGCUCAUCACAUCCUGGGGCUGAAGUAGGUCCCAAGGGUAUGGCUGUUCGCCAUUUAAAGUGGUACGCGAGCUGGGUUUAGAACGUCGUGAGACAGUUCGGUCCCUAUCUGCCGUGGGCGCUGGAGAACUGAGGGGGGCUGCUCCUAGUACGAGAGGACCGGAGUGGACGCAUCACUGGUGUUCGGGUUGUCAUGCCAAUGGCACUGCCCGGUAGCUAAAUGCGGAAGAGAUAAGUGCUGAAAGCAUCUAAGCACGAAACUUGCCCCGAGAUGAGUUCUCCCUGAGACUUAGAGUCUCCUGAAGGAACGUUGAAGACGACGACGUUGAUAGGCCGGGUGUGUAAGCGCAGCGAUGCGUUGAGCUAACCGGUACUAAUGAACCGUGAGGCUUAACCUU